AUGAGUCACAGAGAAGAAAUACACACAAGAACAUCUGACCUCAGUGGACGGGGAAAACUAAUAAAAGUCACUGGCAAGGGCUUCCGGGCAGCCAAAGCGAAGCCAGGACUACGGAUGUCACUGCUGCUCACGGCUGCCUCCCCCGCAGAGGCAGCGCAGACAAGGAGAGAGUGGAAGGGAAGGAGGGAGGAGGAGAGAGAGAGAAACCCAGCCCCAUCUGUACAUUAGAAGAAGCAGAAAGGAAAGCAGUUGGGAGCAAAGUGAAUGUGACCAUUGUGCUCCCACAUGUCCACCGUCUCGCUCCACCGCCAGCGGACACUGUCUCCUUCACUGACCUCUGCCAUCUUCACUUGUCUGAUAAAAGACCGACUCACCUAAAGCAACAGAAUAGCCCUCUAAAAAUUAAUAAGACCACAGAGUGCCUAUGAUACUAUCUUUCCUUCAUCUCAGAUUCUUACUGAGAAGCCCUUCUAAGAGCAAAAGAUUCUUAGGAGUUUUGUGACCAGUGAGUCUGAAGGAGGGAAUGGGGAGGGGAAGAGAAAAAGGAGAUUGAAGCACUAAUGACAACUGGGCCGUUCAUUCCUUUCCUUACAAGUUUCGGGUUCAGGAAGCUGAGCCCUUGUGUGGGACAGGCGAUCCUUUUGGCCCAGCUCCCUGCUGAUGUCUCCUCCUCCGAGGAAUUCCCAAACUUGUCCCCAAACCGAGUCCUCUUGGGUCAGUGGUUAACAGCUCUACCACCCAGCCGAAGGCAGGUGGAGCGGAGACGAAGGCAACAGGAGAGGGGAGAGGGAAGCCCCGCCCGCCCCUUCCCGCGAGCAGCGGCCCCUGCCUCUGUCCUGGCCGGACGCCAGUGCUGGGCUCUGAAAGCAUCAGCAGAGAUUCUGCUAUGAACUGGGCAUCGCCUCAAGGCAGAAAACAAAAUGUUGGGAAGAGUUAUUUAAGAAACAAAUUUUCUUUUUAAUGUACAGCUAUCAAUAUUUUAUUUACAUUUCUAUAUUUCUAUAUCAUCCUUGAUCUUAAAGUAAAUCUAUAUUGAACACACUGCAUAUAUUUUACUAAUGUACAUUUAACCUAUGCCAUUCACAUUUUAAUUUAAAAUAUAUUUUGAAAUGUGUAAUAAUGGCUGAGAAAAACUUUUUAAAAAAUAUAUUUUUAUUGAUUUCAGAGAGGAAGGGAGAGGGAGAGAGGGUUAGAAACAUCAGUGAUGAGAGAGAAACACUGAUUGGCUGCCUCCUGCACACCCCCUACUGGGGAUCAAGCCUGCAAUCCAGACAUAUGUCCUUGACCAGAAUCUAACCCAGGACCCUUCAGUCCACAGGCUGAGGCUCUAUAUACAGAGCCAAACCAGCUAGGGCGGCUGAGAAAAACUUUAACCUAGAAUUUCCUGAAACAACCAGAGGCUACGAUGGGGAGCGGGGAGAAGAGCAGGCUGAUGGGCCUCCUGGCCCAUCACAGAGGGGCUGCACAAUCCAGGCGUCGGGGCGGGCCAGUGCAUUUACUCACAGCACGCUCUUCCACGCUCAGAGGAGUCGGGUUUGAAUGACAUGCUCUAUGCUGACCCUAAUUUCAGAACAUUAGGGCUUCCUGCACAUGCCGGGGCCCAGGCACAGCUGCCUGCUGACAGAGAUGAGCGUGCCCCGCCAGGGGCUUCAGGGGAGCUCACCAGAGAGGCGCC